UACGGAGGGUGCAAGCGUUGUCCGGAUUUAUUGGGUUUAAAGGGUGCGUAGGCGGCUUUUUAAGUCAGUGGUGAAAGACAACAGCUCAACUGUUGCAGUGCCAUUGAUACUGAAGAGCUUGAGUACAGAUGAGGUAGGCGGAAUGCGUCAUGUAGCGGUGAAAUGCUUAGAUAUGACGCAGAACACCAAUUGCGAAGGCAGCUUGCUACACUGUUAUUGACACUGAGGCACGAAAGCGUGGGGAUCAAACAGG
rnacentral:rRNA from 1 species